rnacentral:rRNA from 1 species
AGUGAACGCUGGCGGCGUGCCUAAUACAUGCAAGUCGAACGGAGUGGCGCACGGGUGAGUAAUAUAUAGCUAAAUUGCUCAUUACUCAGGGACAACAGUUGGAAAAGCCUGCUAAUACCUUAUAUUAAUGGAUAGGGCUAUAUCGUAUCAGCUAGUUGGUAAGGUAACGGCUUACUAAGGCUAUGACGCGUAACAUGUCUGAGAGGAUGAUCAGUCACACUGGAACUGAGACACAGUCCGGACUCCUACGGGAAGGAACGGUAGGGUAUAUUGCUCAAUGGGGGAAAGCCUGAAGCAGCAACGCCGCGUGGAGGAUGGCAGUUUUCGAAGCAUAAGCUCCUUUUCUUGGGAAAGCGGUACCCAAGGAGAAAGCACCGGCUAACUCCGUGCCAGCAGCCGCGGUAAUAC